rnacentral:rRNA from 1 species
UGGGGAAUAUUGGACAAUGGGCGCAAGCCUGAUCCAGCCAUACCGCGUGGGUGAAGAAGGCCUUCGGGUUGUAAAGCCCUUUUGUUGGGAAAGAAAAGCAGUCGGUUAAUACCCGAUUGUUCUGACGGUACACAAAGAAUAAGCACCGGCUAACUUCGUGCCAGCAGCCGCGGUAAUACGAAGGGUGCAAGCGUUACUCGGAAUUACUGGGCGUAAAGCGUGCGUAGGUGGUUGUUUAAGUCUGUCGUGAAAGCCCUGGGCUCAACCUGGGAAUUGCGAUGGAAACUGGGCGACUAGAGUGUGGCAGAGGAUAGUGGAAUUCCUGGUGUAGCAGUGAAAUGCGUAGAGAUCAGGAGGAACAUCCGUGGCGAAGGCGACUGUCUGGGCCAACACUGACACUGAGGCACGAAAGCGUGGGGAGCAAACAGG